GGGCAGGGGUCAGGGGCCGCCUGGUGGUGGCUGUGGAUCCAGUACCCUGCGUGGUGCACGAUGUUGACACAUCAUCUUCUGGAAAGAUCCACUCAAAUGGACCCAAUCACCACAAGUGUUUAAUUGCUCUGGACGCGCAGGCCCAGCGGCCAUGGCUCACGGGCCCAGCCGCCCCGCGGCACGCAGGAUCCUCCCGGACCAGGGCACGAACCUGUGUCCCCCGCAUCGGCAGGUGGACUCUCAACCACUGCACCACCAGGG